UUUAACUGAAGAGUUUGAUCAUGGCUCAGAUUGAACGCUGGCGGCAGGCUUAACACAUGCAAGUCGAGCGGAGAGAGGUAGCUUGCUACCGAUCUUAGCGGCGG
rnacentral:rRNA from 1 species